rnacentral:rRNA from 1 species
CCUACGGGGGGCAGCAGUGAGGAAUAUUGGUCAAUGGACGAGAGUCUGAACCAGCCAAGUAGCGUGAAGGAUGACUGCCCUAUGGGUUGUAAACUUCUUUUAUAUGGGAAUAAAACAGGGUAUGCAUACCCUCUUGUAUGUACCAUAUGAAUAAGGAUCGGCUAACUCCGUGCCAGCAGCCGCGGUAAUACGGAGGAUGCGAGCGUUAUCCGGAUUUAUUGGGUUUAAAUGGUGCGCAGGCGGCGAGUUAAGUCAGCGGUAAAAUUUCGGGGCUCAACCCCGACAAGCCGUUGAAACUGGCUUGCUAGAGUGGGCGAGAAGUAUGCGGAAUGCGUGGUGUAGCGGUGAAAUGCAUAGAUAUCACGCAGAACUCCGAUUGCGAAGGCAGCAUACCGGCGCCCAACUGACGCUCAGGCACGAAAGCGUGGGUAUCGAACAGGAUUAGAUACCCCAGUAGUC